AACGAACGCUGGCGGCAUGCUUAACACAUGCAAGUCGAACGAGAGCAUGGCUUCGGCCAUGUUUCUAGUGGCAAACGGGUGAGUAACGCGUGGGAAUCUACCUAGUUGUGGGGAAUAACUGCGGGAAACUGCAGCUAAUACCGCAUAAUCCCUUCGGGGGAAAGGCUUCGGUCGCAAUUAGAGGAGCCCGCGUCAGAUUAGGUAGUUGGUAGGGUAAUGGCCUACCAAGCCUGUGAUCUGUAGCUGGUCUGAGAGGAUGAUCAGCCACACUGGGACUUAGACACGGCCCAGACUCCUACGGGAGGCAGCAGUGGGGAAUAUUGGACAAUGGAGGAAACUCUGAUCCAGCAAUGCCGCGUGAGUGAAGAAGGCUUUCGGGUUGUAAAACUCUUUCAGUAGGGAAGAUAAUGACGGUACCUACAGAAGAAGCCCCGGCAAACUUCGUGCCAGCAGCCGCCGUAAAAC
rnacentral:rRNA from 1 species